rnacentral:rRNA from 1 species
GUGGGGAAUAUUGCGCAAUGGGCGAAAGCCUGACGCAGCGACGCCGCGUGAGGGAUGAAGGUUUUCGGAUCGUAAACCUCUGUCAGAAGGGAAGAAAGUGCGUGGUGCUAAUCAGCCGCGUAUUGACGGUACCUUCAAAGGAAGCACCGGCUAACUCCGUGCCAGCAGCCGCGGUAAUACGGAGGGUGCGAGCGUUAAUCGGAAUUACUGGGCGUAAAGCGCACGUAGGCUGUUGUGUAAGUCAGGGGUGAAAUCCCACGGCUCAACCGUGGAACUGCCCUUGAUACUGCAUGACUAGAAUCCGGGAGAGGGUGGCGGAAUUCCAGGUGUAGGAGUGAAAUCCGUAGAUAUCUGGAGGAACAUCAGUGGCGAAGGCGGCCACCUGGACCGGUAUUGACGCUGAGGUGCGAAAGUGUGGGGAGCAAACAGG